GAUGAACGCUGGCGGCGUGCCUAACACAUGCAAGUCGAGCGAGAAGGAAUGAAGUGCUUGCACGGAUUUUCGGACAGCGGCGGACGGGUGAGUAACGCGUAGGUAACCUACCUUAUGCACGGGGAUAGCUCCGGGAAACUGGGAUUAAUACCUGAUAAAGCGGUGAGAUCACAUGGUUUUAUCGCCAAAGAUUUAUCGGCGUAAGAUGGACCUGCGUCUGAUUAGCUGGUUGGUGAGGUAACGGCCCACCAAGGCGACGAUCAGUAGCCGACCUGAGAGGGUAAUCGGCCACAUUGGAACUGAGACACGGUCCAAACUCC
rnacentral:rRNA from 1 species